CCUACGGGGGGCUGCAGUGGGGAAUAUUGGACAAUGGGGGCAACCCUGAUCCAGCCAUGCCGCGUGUGUGAAGAAGGCCCUCGGGUUGUAAAGCACUUUCAGUGAGGAAGAACGCCUGGUGGUUAAUACCCAUCAGGAAAGACAUCACUCACAGAAGAAGCACCGGCUAACUCCGUGCCAGCAGCCGCGGUAAUACGGAGGGUGCGAGCGUUAAUCGGAAUUACUGGGCGUAAAGCGCGCGUAGGUGGCUUGAUAAGCCGGUUGUGAAAGCCCCGGGCUCAACCUGGGAACGGCAUCCGGAACUGUCAAGCUAGAGUGCAGGAGAGGAAGGUAGAAUUCCCGGUGUAGCGGUGAAAUGCGUAGAGAUCGGGAGGAAUACCAGUGGCGAAGGCGGCCUUCUGGACCGACACUGACACUGAGGUGCGAAAGCGUGGGUAGCAAACAGGAUUAGAUACCCCAGUAGUC
rnacentral:rRNA from 1 species